GGGCCAGCAGAGCCUGUGUGUACCAUGGUGGGAAAUAGAAACUUACACGAUGGUGAAGGCUGAGAGAUGGACAACAGCUCCUGCUCUGGCAGACCUGCACCCACAGGACAGAGCCAGUGCCACGAAGCCCCUGUGCCUGACAGAGGUACCAGUUUGUUGUCCAGUCUGGAGGUCCAUUUUCUCACUUACUGAAUACAAAGGCAAGUCAUGAUACAGAGCAGCAUUGACAGCCUUUCAGCCAGGGUGCAACCAAAGGGACAGAUUGCAAUUUACAGAUGGCCUGAUUUAGAGAACAAAUGACAUUUAUCCAGGCUAAUACUCCUCUGGAGUAUUAAGGCAUCUGCUGUGUUCCUAACCCAAGGAACAUCCUGUAUGUACCAAUACAGAUACACAAGGUUGACCUCCAAAUCGGGGCCUAGGCUGCCUUUGUUUUCCCAUUAUUUACAAAGUGCAAGACCUACUGCUCCCAUCUUCAUCAUUCUCCUACCCCCAAAGGUUUGGUAUUCCCCUGCAGAAGAGGAAAACCAGAAAAUUCUCCCUAGAACAGAUUUCUUAGGUACUUAGUUCAGAAAAUGUUUAAACUAUCUCCUUAGAAUUCUCCACUAGAACGACAACCAGAUCCACCAUUGUACCCAAACUCAUUUCAUGAACAAGAGCCCCUGAAUGAAGGGACAAUCCUUAAAAUACACCUACAUGCCCCAUCCAAAAUAUAAGCAAUCACUGAAAGUAGGUAGUAUGGUACCAUCUCUGUACUGUCACGGAAAUGGAAAGCUACACCUGAAGCUUCCUAUAUUUUCAGCAACUAACAUCAAAAUGGAUGGAUCUCAGCAUUUGCAGGAUGUACAAUGAAUUAAAAUCCAAAGGAAUCACAAAAGCAGAUUUAAGCGCUUCUCCCCGCCACCUCCCAUUUCCUAAUAACAGUAUUUCGUUUCCAAAGGCAACACCCUUCUUAAAUCUUUCAUAAGAAUGAGUUCCUACUUCCCCAUGUAACAAGCCCAAGGACAGCACCAACCUUAUGGAAAGGGAAGCUGCUGAGAAACCUCUGCAUCACAAAGAUAGGGCACAACUAGAAAUACUUAUCCAAAUAAAACUCAGAAUGGAGUAAUUGCAUCACCCAGACUUCUGGCAACAAACUUCAACAGGAAGUCUAGUAUCUUUCAGCUUUCUUCUCCUAGGAGAAAGAAUCAAGAGCACUCAGAUCUCACCUGAAGAAAGCAGGUAGACACCCGGUUUUAGUUAAUAUGACUUAAGCCUGGCAGUCUGGGAUUUAGAUGAUGCUACUUACUUACUACUGAUUUGGAAAAGUAAAAAUUAAAAACAAAGGUACAAGAAAUAGAUUACCAUGGGUAUUACUAUUGCCCCGAGCAAACCCUAUUUUCAGCCAACAGCUGCACAAUGCACUGAAAAGUUUACACACACACUUCGCUGUGCACAUACACAAAUCUCACACACACACACCCUCUUACUUUUCUACAGGCAGUUAUUAGCCUAAUUGUGCUUUGUUACGAAGCUCAGUCGAUAAUUCAAUGGGGAGAAGAGAUUACACAACCUUCUCUUCUCCCAGGCUUCCAGCUCCUCUGCCUCUGAGCUCUCCAGGCUACAGAUCAAGGCAGCCUAAAAAUUUCCCAUCAGAACUUCUUACAACCUCAGGUAAGAUUUCAACUAUUCUUAAAAAGAGCUCUAUCCAGCUUCAUCUGAUUGCUCUACUUUCUUGUCAUCAACUGAAUUUGCAGUUUAACUUACAUGUUCACUCACUUCCAAUGUGGCCUUUACUGAGGAAGCUCCCUGCCUCCUCUCAGCCCCACUCAAGUAACACAUUAUUUCUGGGACCUGUUGCCCUCCAAAAAGACAACUCCUACUCUCCAGUUUCUUACCACUUCUCCAUAAUUACAGCACUACAGAGGAGGUGCCAAAAUCAAAAGAACUAAUAAAACUACUCAAUUACCUCUACUUUACUGGAGAUCUCAUUUAUGUUUGACACACCAAAAAUUCCCAGAAGCCAAAAGUUACCCUCAAAGCCCUAUUCCAGACAGUUUAAAAUAUGUGUUAACACCCUAGCUGAAAAUAUUGCAGCAUGUCCUUCUUUUGUGCGGCAAGAAUUCUUAGGGUAGCUCAAAAAUUCCACCUCUUAACCAUCAACUGAAAUGUACAAUGCCCCAAAUAAUCACAAGUUAGUAAGGCUUAUAAAAACCAUAUUUGAGCACAUCCUUUGUAAAAUCAUCUAAUUUUAAACAUAUCAAUACUUGAAAAAAAAAAACUUUCCUUGUAUGUUUGCCCAGUAAUUAAUCUUAGUGCUAAAACAAAUACACAUUUUUAGUAUGAAUUCAUCUACCUUCACUUUCUUACUGCUUAAUAUUCCAUGUCUGCUAAACUUAAAGCUCAUUAGUAAGUAUUGCCUAUGUGUAGGUAUUUACUAACUAAAAUUAAGUCAUUCUUCAACCAUCAAGUUAAUCAUGUUGAGCUCCUGCACAGCCACCUUCUGGUUUUUCCAGUACUUAAUUCCUAUAGCUCUUCCCUGAGCCUUUCACAGUCUCCCAAACUAGAGCUUUCCAGGACUGUUUACACUAAUGCAAACAGAAACAAGACACACGUAUAUUUUAACUGCAUGUCAACCUUUCAUCAAACAACUUCCUUCAGCCAAGUACCAAAUAUGGAUGACUGUACAUGUAAUGUGUGUACUUUCCCAGCUUUAAUUCACUUUUUCCUUGCAUUUAGGUUCUGGACAUACACAGUAGGAACUUUGGCUAUUUCCUCCCAGCUGAGUUGCCUCAAAUCUGUGUUUUCAUGUAUUUUGCACAGCAAGGCAGACUGUUUUACAACAGUAAUUGAUGGAAACUUCAACUAGUUAUCUGUCAUCUCCAGAUUUCUUGGCUUGUACCUCAAGUAAUGUCUGAAGGUCCCAAUCCGCUACCCUGGAGGAAGGCCAGGGUAGGAGGAGCUGGUUUUGCUAAGCCUUGAUGGUGUUUGCUUACAACUGAAUAAAUUAGAGAUGCUGGCUGACAUCACAAUUUCUCUUGUUCGUGUUACUCCUUACACUUACAUACUGUGAAGAUUGUGAGACACUACACUUGUACCAGUAUCUGGCUCCUCCCAAGAGCUAAUUUGUCAGGAAGCCAGAAAUCACUUCCCAGACAGGACCCUGUUUCCUAAAAGAAGCAGGUCACUCACUAUCUGUUGUCCAGGACCCUGUUUCCUAAAAGAAGCAGGUCACUCACUAUCUGUUGUCCCCUACCCCAGCACACACAACCAAGAGCUCUCCUUACACAGACCUCCAGUCUCUGAAGCAUUCACUUCCAGAGCCACAAAUUACCAUGAAAAUACAUGUUCAAGCUAAGAUCUUUUAUUCACAAAACAGGAACUCAAGGCAAAAUUAUUUCAUUAGCUCUCUACCCUCAGUGCUUUUCAGACUCCUUGUUUCGGCUUUGAGGAAGGCAAAGGCAGUGAGUUACACACAGCACACAAAGUGUGGCUUGUAUGGAAAAAAAGUCCAAAAUGUGACCAACCAGGCAAGGUCUAGGUUCAUGGGGAUGCUUAAAAGUUCCCUGGGACACAAACUGCAUCACAUCUCUGCAGGGCAAGCUACACGCUUUUGUCAAAAUAUUUCCUGAGAAAACACCCUCCCACUGAAAGACAGCCUGAAACCGCUGCAGCCAAAUCCAUUUAGGGGACAGGACAGUCACAAGGCUACUCCUAGGAACCCCUUCAAGCUGAAGAUGAAAUGGCUGAAAUGAAGCCAUUUCUGACUGAAGGACACUAAGCCUUCUCAGAGGUGGGUGGGAUCACAGAACCACAGAAAAUCCUAUGUUGGAAGGGACCCACAAGGGUCACUGAAGUCCAACUUCUGGCCCUGGACGUUUAGUUAAGUUCCAGUUAAUGUUUUUAACACAGUCACAUAGAAACUUUGUAAUCUUUAGGAUGCUGAAAACUUAAAAUUUCCACUGACUGACGACAAUAAGCAUUAAUCCAUUCUUGAUGGUUAUUGCCAUAGUACUCUUCAGUAAACACUGACUUUGGAGGAUUUACAUGUAUUUAAAUAUUAUCCUUCUUUCUUCCUCCUUCCCCCCCCCCCACCCCCAUCUGGAAAGAAUUAUUCUGCAAGUCGAAUGACAAUCAUUUGAGUCAUACAAAACAACAUGAAACCAAGACUGUCAGUAGAUUUAUACCACAUCCUUUAGGAGUUUAGUUUAGUUUCACAUAGUGAAACAUGUAAUGGCUUUCAUAAUUUUCAACAGAUAACUUGAAAUUAGCCAUACCACAAACAGAGCAGUAGAUACACAGUUUCAAGUAACUCUAAACUGAUUUUUUUUCCUGUGCUAUGUUGAAAUAGAGUAUGCUACUUUAAGUAUAUUUAAACAUUCAGCUAUUUUAAGGGGUUUUCCCUGCUCCUGAGUACAGCAUUAUGCAAAAAUCAACAGAUAUAAGAUUAUCAUGAUCUAGAAGACACAGCACACUAGUCAUACAUGGUUGGCAUUAUUCGAGAUGUAAAUUUGGAACAAUAUUAAAAAUUAAUCUCCUUCUAUGGUGUUUAAUGCACAGUUUCCAAAACAAAUAAAUGAACCACUGCUUUUGUGUGUUGUCCCCACCACUUUUUUUUUUUUUAAACUAUAAUUUUUAUUUAAAUAAGACACAGGAACUUCUAUACCGAAAAAAAAAUACAAAACAAAAGCCACACAUUUCCUUGUGUAAAGCAAUAUUGUGUGAUAACUUGAAUACUGUUCAGCACAGUGGCUAGAAAUAACAGUACAACUAUGUACAAAACUUUAAACAAUAUUUGACAAAUUUCUACAGCUGGAUGUAGAAUACAAUUGAGAUAAACAACUGCUGGGAAAUUUACAUGGCAAAGCAUUAGCUUUAACACAUUUGGUUCAAAACCUUCAAUUCUGCUAAGAACAAAUGUGCAUUUUAAUUAAUAUUUAGUUUCUCAUGGAAAAAAUAUAAAGAACAUGUAAUGGCAUUGCAAAUAUUGUACAGAGUUCAGCACUGAUCUAAAAACCACUCAUCAUAUCCCCUGGUAACCUAACACCAAUAACUGAGACUACAAUUUCUUAUCUGGACAUAGCCAGAGCAUAAAAAGGUCAUCAUACUGCAAUGUUAGUCUAGAAAGAAAAAUAUUAAAAGGAAUCAAUACUUAGAUCACGAGUAUUUUCUCCCCUUUAUCUUCAGUCUAUAAAAUAUAUAGUGUUUUCACCUAGGCCUGAGAUUAGUAGGGUUAAAGAUGGCUGCUGUGUUUCAAUAAGCUUUUUCACAUGAAAAUGGUUAGAGACAGACCUCUAUCCUUCUAUGUUCUCUGCAAGGGGAGUCAAAAAAACAGUGGAUGUUUUAUAGGCUGUGAAUUCCACCUUGUAAGACAGCAUUAACAAAAACUCAGUAAUAAAAAGGAAGCAAUGCUUUGUCUCCAAAAAAGCACAUAUCUAGUGAGUAGUUACUGGUGGCUCACUCUCAUCCCCCUCCAAUCUCAUCUUCAAAAGCAGAAAAAAACAUACAAGAGCAUGUUUAAAUGCUCCUAGUAGCUGCAGGCUACUAAUCUCUUCAAUUCCUGGAAAUGGUGAACCUUAUUCUCUUAGGAGUAGACAGCAUACACACAGUUCCACCGAGCUGAAAGCAAUGGAGCAAGAACAUCAAGUUUAUUUUGCCUUUGGGGUCCUUUUGGUAUCACAGGAAAUUAUCUCUGAAAGCAAUGCUCCUCUUUUUCUAGUACAACAGAAGAGUGCCACAAACCCAAUCUUGCCAUGUACUAUUUCGAGACAGUGUCCAGCCUGCAAAACCAGGAUUAUUUUACAUGGAUUUUUCUUUUAUUUACACUUGAGGGGGGAAAACACACUUUUACACACACAGCUUAAGUAACUGAAAGUUAUGGGAGAAGCUUUAAGUAACAUGAACUUAAAACUAUUGUUUUCCCCACCCCUCUUAGAACACCCACUUGCUACUUCUGGACUUUCAUCCAAACACAAUUACUCACUACAUAAAUAAAACGCCGCUCAUCUAACACUGCUCAACAAAAUCUGAAAACCUAUUUCCAACCAGCAAAUGAAUGAACAUUUCCAAAAGAGAAACUAAACAUUAAUUUGACUUUUAGACGGUAACAGUAGCAUUUCACAUCCUUAACUGCCAACACAAACCAUGAGAGGAAAUCCCCAAUCACCCCCCCCCCCCCCCACCCCCGUGAAACCUAAAAAUUUCUGUCCUUUAACAAAAACAUUCUUGUAUUCUUGUCUUUCAAAAUCCUCUCACACACAAUGUGGAAUGUUUCUCAUGUACAGCCUAGUACUGAACACUUUAUUUGCAACAGUUUAACAGUCAUUAACUGAGCAACACCUGAAACCUUUAAAUGCCACAAUUUUACAUCUAUUGAAAUGACAGUAAAUGCAACAGUUGUUUUACUUGUAAGCACAUGACAAAGUGAUAUACAUCACAGAUUUGCUGGUUCUCCUCAUGUUCACCCAUGUCCAGGGUCACCAUUCACCUGGAUCUGAAUGCACUUAUUCCAAGAAAGUGGAAUGUAAUGAGGAAAUAUAAUGCAUAAAACAAGGAAAGGCAAAAGAGUGAUGUUCCCUCUUUAGCUUUGUAGCUGUAAAAUAUUUUAUAUUCCAAUAUGAUAUACAUUCCAAGUUACCUGAGUUUACACUUCAAGAGAAGUACCUGAAGCUAGGCCAUAGGGUGGGCACUGUGCAACUGCUGUGGCCAUUUUUUUUUUUUUUUUUUGCAUUGUGUGUAUUACAGAAGUUAGAAACAUAAACACCUGGAUCAAUU